UACGUAGGGUGCAAGCGUUGUCCGGAAUUAUUGGGCGUAGAGAGCUCGUAGGCGGUUUGUCGCGUCUGCUGUGAAAACUCAGGGCUUAACUCUGAGCUUGCAGUGGGUACGGGCAGACUAGAGUGCGGUAGGGGAGACUGGAAUUCCUGGUGUAGCGGUGAAAUGCGCAGAUAUCAGGAGGAACACCGGUGGCGAAGGCGGUUCUCUGGGACGGGACUGACGCUGAGACGCGAAAGCGUGGGGAGCGAACAGG
rnacentral:rRNA from 1 species